GUGUGUGUGUGGGGGGGGUUCUUUGUUGCCUCGUCUGUGUCUCUUCCUUUCCUUUUUCUGUUCUUUCGCGGCCAAACCCCUCCCCUCCCCCGCUGGGGGCGACCGAGCUGAAACAACCCCGUGGACCUGUCAAGGGCCCCGCCCACUCUGACUCUUGAAGAAGGGGGUCUAGCUUUUUCUGUCGAGCCUCCUGUCUGUAAAAGGUGCGGCGUGGCUUCCAGGACUGGUCUCUGGAAAAAGAGACCCAGCUUCCACUUUCACGGAGCUUGUAAAAGCAGGGGUUGUAUAGAGAGCUUCAAUUGGGGGCCUAGGGACAUUAGCCCAGCGGCAGAGCGCCCGCCGGAAAGGCAUGCGGCCCUGGGUUCGAUCCCCAAUGAGGCAAAACAGAAUAAUAAUGAGAAAUAGGAAGUGUGGAGUGGGGUUAACAGAUCCGGCUUGUCUUACUGGCCUUGAGACCUUGGGCCAAUCAAGUUGUUUUCGACUCAGUUUGCUGAUGUGUAAAAUAGGGGCGGUAGGCCCCACCUCGGAGGCUGGUUGUGAGGUAAAAAUGAGAUGCGCAGAAGGGCCCCUGCGUGAGUCAGCAUUCACUAGUGGCUGAGUGGGAUGUUAGCACCUAAUGGUAACACCCUGUGCUUCGCUGUUUUCAGAUUGUUUCACAUACAUCUGUCUCACUCCGCUCACAGCGUCACGAACCUCUUGGGGACACAACAGCCUAGCACAUCGUAAGGAUUCGAUGGAUGGCUUGGUUUGGGUUGCAGGAGACUGGGGAAAUUUUCUGCAAAGACACUGAGGUUUCCAUCUGGGGCGGGAGCAAAGAGAGUGUGAGAAUUUCCGUGGCUGAAAUGUCAAAUGUGUGUGUUUCCUCAGCAGACAGGGCAGGGGGAGAGAGAUAAAGUGCAUUCCAAUUGGGCUAUGCCGGCCUCCUGUGACAGCCCGCCUGUGGAGCAGAGGAGAACACAGCUGAGUAAACCUGGGUGAGGAGGAAUGAAUGCAGCAGGAGGAUGCUCAGGAGGAGAGGGGGCCAGUGGGAAGCUGGCACUGAAACCUCACGGCUGCACAGGUUGAGGCUCUGGAAAUGCCAGAAUGUGGCUGCAUCUGGAAAAACAACCGAAUGGCAAACCACCACCACCAUGAGUAAGGAAGGUCGUGAUGAACAAACCCGUGAUUGAGCCCAACAAUGCUUUUCUCCCCACCCCCUUGAAGACACCACAGGGCUGUAGCCGCAGGAGAGAAACCUGCUGAGAUCGGAAAACAGUUCUUUUACCUAGUUUUUACUUUUGUGUUACUUCUUUUAGUGUGUGUGUGUGUGUGUGUGUGUGUGUGUGUGCGCGCGCGCGCGCGCGCGCAUGGGUGUACAAGCACACUGUACAGCACAGGUGUUAGAGGUCAGAGGACAACCUUCAGGAGUCAGUGGGUCCUGACAGGCUUGGUGACACCUUUCCCUCAUGAACCAUCUCACCAGCCCAGAAAAUGCCUCUUUUAUGAGAGAUGCUUGCAAGGCCUGCCAUCUAGAGACAGCUGAAAACUAUUUUCCAGGCGUGGGUGGAGCUCUUAAGAUUAAGAACACUACCAUAUAUAAACAGGCUCGGGCGUGCAUGCCUGUCGGUUCAGCACUUAAGGAGGCCGAGGCAGGAGGAUUUCCAAUUCAGCCUUUAAGUGUGGUGGCUCAUCCCUUUAAUCCUAGCACUCUGGCGGUAGAGGAAGGGAGGCAGACGGGACAGACAGACACGCAGACCCACAGAGAUCUAUUGUGUAAUAUGUAACUCCGGCCAGUUCCGUUAAUUUUUAUCAGCAAAGAAAACAAAAGUGCAGAGAAACGACCUAAGAUCAUGCAGCUGAGGAAGAGACGAGAAAUGUUAUCUCAGCCUCUCUCUCAAAUCCUUGGCUCAGUCUCGAGGCAAAUCUAUCAACGAGGCCAUCUCUGUUUCAAGAGGAGCCUCUAUUGAGCAUAGCUCUCAUUACCAUCAUCAUUUCGUUACUAUCAUGAUCAAUAGCAUCAUUUGGUCACCCACUCAGCGACACCGGAGCAGUGAUGCUUUCUCUGACUGCUAAGCUCCUCCUCAGUACUGGACACAGAGCAGGCCAGCUGCUCUGCCCCCGUCAGACACCAGUCUCCUGCAAGCUGCCAAGAGCCAGGCACAGGAAGAAAAUAAGCAAGUUGGUGUUGGCCUGGAGCUGAGUCAUAAAGACUCCUGGGAGUCUGCAGGAAGGUGACUGGCUUACUGUUUGUGAGCAAACAGCUCUCAGCUCUUGGAGGCAGAAGGAAAAUCACUUCCUGCCCUUCCGGCUGGCAGAGUACCAGCAGGGCAGGUGAUCUUCUGCGCCUGGGGGUGAGCCUCAGCCUGGCAUUGCUGUUUUGUUUUGUUUUUUUUUAACUGCCCUUCCUUGCCAAUCAACUGGUUUAUAUCUUUUAAUUGUUUUUAAAUUGUGUGCUCUGUGCCAGGGGUGAUUUUCACACUGCCCUCAGUGUUAAAACCUAUGAUGCUCUAUGAAAUGCUACGUAGGGAGCUGUGUUUGCCUCCCCGGAGGAUGUGGGUGGAGCUCAGCAGGUGGGGAUAAUCUGGCUGCCUCCUGUGUUCCCCCUCAACACAGCUCUGGCCUUCUGACCACCAGUGUGAAUCAGAAAUUUGGAAGGCAAAGAAGCCAGAGUCCUGGGGAAAUAAGUCAGUUUUGUCACUGCCCUGGCCAGCCAAAAAAAAAAAAGAGCUAGCUUAAGAAAGAUGGAAGAGCUGGGGCACCUGGAGGGUUUCUGUUCUUCGUGAAGAUUUAGAGAACGUGCUCCUUAGUGAGAAGGAGAAAAGUACCAUUAGUAAGAAAAAUCUAGAAUGCCAAAGGCUAAAGGCCAUCCAGCAGUUGCUAGUGUAUUCAACAUCAGUGAGGAAGGUCACAAACACCCAGAAGGACCUGUGGCCUAACGAAGAAAUGUCCCGAUGUGUUCAAACAUUUGUUCCCCAGUUGGUGGCUCAGUUUCGGAAGGUUGUAGAAUCUUUUACAGUGGAGCCUACCUGGAGGAAGUGGGCCACCAAGAGUAGGCCCUGUGAGUUUUAGGACCUAACCACACUUGUCUGCUCUCUGCCUCCUGUUUCAACAAGCUAGGAGGGGAAGGGUCCCAGCUGUACCCUCCUGCCACCUUGGGGCUGCCUGUAUCAUAUCUUCCUCUCCCUGGUAGAUUGUACUCCCAGACUCUGAGCUAAAAUAAACCCACUGUUCUUUAA